AGUCGAACGGCAGCACGGACUUCGGUCUGGUGGCGAGUGAACGGGUGAGUAAUGUAUCAGGGCCAUUAGUGCCUGGUAGCGGGGGAUAACUGCGCGAAAGCGUAGCUAAUACCGCAUACGCCCUUCGGGGAAAGCGGGGGACCUUCAGGCCUCGCACUAUUAGAAGCGGCCGAUAUCGGAUUAGCUAGUUGGUGGGGUAACGGCUGCCAGGCGAUCCGUAACUGGUUUGAGAGGACGACCAGCCACACUGGGACUGAGACACGGCCGGGCUCUACCGGGAGGCAGCAGUGGGGAAUUUUUGGACAAUGGGGAAACCUGAUCCAGCCAUCCGCGUGUGCGAUGAAGGCCUUCAGGUUGUAAGCACUUUUGGCGAAGAAGCGGCCUGGGAUAAUACCGUGCAGCUGACGGUACCUGCAGAAUAAGCACCGGCUAACUACGUGCCUUGCUUGGCCGCCGCGGUAAUACGUAGGGUGCAAGCGUUAAUCAGAAUUACUGGGCGUAAAGCGUAUAGGCGGUUCGGAAAAGAAAGAUGUAGAAAAUCCCAGAGCUUAACUUUGGAACUGCAUUUUAACUUUACCGAGCUAGAGUGUGUCAGAGGGAGGUGGAAUUCCGCGUGUAGCAGUGAAAUGCGUAGAUAUGCGGAGGAACACCGAUAACGGCAGCCUCCUGGAACAACAUGACGCUCUAUGCACAACGUGAGGCAAACAGGAUUAGAUACCCUGGUAGUUCACGCCCUAAACGAUGUCAACUAGCUGUUGGAGACCUUCGGGCCUUGGUAGCGCAACUAACGCGCGUGAAGUUGACCGCCUGGGGAAUACGGUCGCAAGAUUAAAACUCAAAGGAAUUGACGGGGACCCGCACAAGCGGUGGAUGAUGUGGAUUAAUUCGAUGCAACGCGAAAAACCUUACCUACCCUUGACAUGUCUGGAAUCCCGAAGAGAUUUGGGAGUGCUCACCAAAGAGAACCGGAACACAGGUGCUGCAUGGCUGUCGUCAGCUCGUGUCGUGAGAUGUUGGGUUAAGUCCCGCAACGAGCGCAACCCUUGUCAUUAGUUGCUACGAAGGGAGCCUCUAAUGAGACUGCCGGUGACAAACCGGAGGAAGGUGAGGAUGACGUCGAGUCCUCGCAGCCCUUAUGGUGGAGCUUCACACGUCAUACAAUGGUCGGGACAGAGGGUCGCCAACCCGCGAGGGGGAGCCAAUCCCGAAACCCGAUCGUAGUCCGGAUCGCGGUCUGCAACUCGACUGCGUGAAGUCAGAAUCGCUAGUAAUCGCGGAUCAGCAUGUCGCGGUGAACCACGUUCCCGGGUCUUCGCCACCGCCCACGUCACCACCAUAGGGUGCGUGCAGAAGUAGUUAGCCUAACCGUAAGGAGGGCGAUUACUGCCGGUAAGGAUUCAUGACUGGGGUGAAGUCGUAACAAGGCCCAG
rnacentral:rRNA from 1 species